rnacentral:rRNA from 1 species
AGCGAACGCUGGCGGCAGGCUUAACACAUGCAAGUCGAACGGGCACUUCGGUGCUAGUGGCAGACGGGUGAGUAACACGUGGGAACGUACCUUCCGGUUCGGAAUAAUCCAGGGAAACUUGGACUAAUACCGGAUACGCCCUUCGGGGGAAAGAUUCAUCGCCGAUAGAUCGGCCCGCGUCUGAUUAGCUAGUUGGUGAGGUAAUGGCUCACCAAGGCGACGAUCAGUAGCUGGUCUGAGAGGAUGAUCAGCCACAUUGGGACUGAGACACGGCCCAAACUCCUACGGGAGGCAGCAGUGGGGAAUAUUGGACAAUGGGCGCAAGCCUGAUCCAGCCAUGCCGCGUGAGUGAUGAAGGCCAUAGGGUUGUAAAGCUCUUUUGUCCGGGAAGAUAAUGACUGUACCGGAAGAAUAAGCCCCGGCUAACUUCGUG